UUAUUUCACCAAGCUCUCACCAACCACUAAAAAUCUGUCGGGUGGAGGUGGAGGUGGAGGUGGAGGUUUCCCUCAAACUGACAUGGAGCCAAUCACAUGAGCCGGAUGACUGGCGCUCCCUGAAGGGACCAAUCAUCAAUCAGUCCUCGUGACACUGGCCAGUGACCUGCCAUCUGUCAAAGAGAGAGCGAGCAGGUGACGGAGAAAGGUUUUUUAUUUUCCUCUGUAAGAUGGAGGGAUGGAGGAGGAACAGGAAGGAUGAACAGAGGAGGCGAUGGAGGAAGAGAGGCGUCCGUCUUCAUCCUCCAUUAGCUCAGAUCUCCAUUAGCUGCUGAUGGAUCGCUGCCAGGAGAGACGUCGGCCUCCGGAGGGCAAAGGUCAUCCAGCUUUCUCAGAGACACUUUCUUCAUCUCCUCCUCCUCCUCCUCCUCCUCCUCCUCCUUCAGGUUGUAACUCUCAUUGUCUCUGACAGCCUGUGGACUGUUUCUAUGCAAAGGACUCGCCAAGACGUUCACGUUCCGAGCAAAGGCGUCCGUGAACAUCAACAAACGACCGGCACCAGGACCGCCCUCGCAGUGCGCUGCCGGUCCCGUGGGUGUGGUACUGGCAGGACGCUGUUCCCCGGGCCGGAGGCUGGAGCCGACCGUCGAGGACUGAAACAAGAACAUUUGAAGUAUUUUUGUUUUACUUGAUGUAAAUAAAUGGAUCCUUCUUAAACCACA